AUGGUGCGGGAGACCGGGUACUACGACGUGCUCGGGGUCAGCCCGGCGGCCACCGAGGCCGACAUCAAGAAGGCCUACUACGUCAAGGCGCGGCAGGUCCACCCCGACAAGAACCGCAAUGACCCCCUCGCGGCCGAGAAGUUCCAGGAACUGGGGGAGGCAUACCAAGUACUUAGUGACCCCGCACAGCGUCAAGCAUAUGACUCAUAUGGGAAAUCUGGUAUUUCAACGGAAGCAAUGAUUGAUCCAGCAGCAAUUUUUGCAAUGCUAUUUGGUAGUGAGGUUUUUGAGGAUUACAUUGGUCAACUGGCGAUGGCAUCCAUGGCUUCACUCGACAUUUUUGGUGAAGAUGAAAAGAUUGAUGCAAGGAAGUUACAAGAGAAAAUGCGAGCUGUACAAAAGGAAAGGGAGGAGAAACUUGCAGAGAAACUGAAGAAUAGAUUGCACAUUUAUGUUCAAGGAAACAAAAAGGAGUUUAUCCAGGUUGCUGAGGCUGAGGUGGCUAGACUUUCUGAUGCAGCAUAUGGGAUUGAUAUGCUGAGUACUAUCGGUUACAUGUAUUCAAGACAAGCUGCCAAGGAGCUUGGAAAAAAAGCUAUCCUUUUGGGGGUUCCUUUUAUAGCUGAAUGGUUUAGGAACAAAGGUCAUUUUAUUAAAUCCCAAGUGACAGCUGCAACAGGUGCAAUAGCUCUUAUGCAGUUGCAGGAAGAUUUAAAAAAACAUCUCAGUUCGGAAUGUAAUUACACUGAUGAGCAACUUGAAGCUUACAUGCAGAGUCAUAAAAAGGUUAUGGUGGAUUCCUUAUGGAAGCUUAACGUUGCUGAUAUAGAGGCAACUCUGUCACGUGUCUGUCAAAUGGUUCUUCAAGAGAGCAAUGUCAAGAGAGAGGAAGUAAGAGCUCGAGCUAAAGGAUUGAAAACUUUAGGCAAAAUAUUCCAGCGUGUUAAGCUCAAUAAUGAAGGAGAAGCAGCAACAAUGAAGCAUACGAUAAAUAAUUUGGAUGAUAAUGUUGGUACCUCUCCGGAUUCAUCACCAACAUCUCCCAGGGUGCAGCCAUUCGAUGCAAACCCACCAUAUUCUCAGAGCCCAUAUGUGGAGGCCCCUCGGUUCGGCGGCACACAUAGUCCGUUCAACUUCCCGAUGCCUACCGCUCCGCCUGGUGCGCAGAGGAAUCCUGUCCCAUGA
rnacentral:rRNA from 1 species